CCUACGGGAGGCAGCAGUGGGGAAUAUUGGACAAUGGGGGCAACCCUGAUCCAGCCAUGCCGCGUGUGUGAAGAAGGCCCUCGGGUUGUAAAGCACUUUCAGUGAGGAAGAACGCCUGGUGGUUAAUACCCAUCAGGAAAGACAUCACUCACAGAAGAAGCACCGGCUAACUCCGUGCCAGCAGCCGCGGUAAUACGGAGGGUGCGAGCGUUAAUCGGAAUUACUGGGCGUAAAGCGCGCGUAGGUGGCUUGAUAAGCCGGUUGUGAAAGCCCCGGGCUCAACCUGGGAACGGCAUCCGGAACUGUCAAGCUAGAGUGCAGGAGAGGAAGGUAGAAUUCCCGGUGUAGCGGUGAAAUGCGUAGAGAUCGGGAAGAAUACCAGUGGCGAAGGCGGCCUUCAGGACUGACACUGACACUGAGGUGCGAAAGCGUGGGUAGCAAACAGGAUUAGAUACCCCAGUAGUC
rnacentral:rRNA from 1 species